rnacentral:rRNA from 1 species
UACGAAGGGGGCUAGCGUUGCUCGGAAUCACUGGGCGUAAAGCGCACGUAGGCGGAUUGUUAAGUCAGGGGUGAAAUCCUGGAGCUCAACUCCAGAACUGCCUUUGAUACUGGCGAUCUCGAGUCCGGGAGAGGUGAGUGGAACUGCGAGUGUAGAGGUGAAAAUUCGUAGAUAUUCGCAAGAACACCAGUGGCGAAGGCGGCCCACUGCCCGGU